rnacentral:rRNA from 1 species
UAAAGGGCAUUUGGUGGAUGCCUUGGCGCGCAGAGGCGAUGAAGGACGUGGCACGCUGCGAAAAGCCUCGGGGAGCCGCGAGCAGGCUUUGAUCCGUGAAUUUCCGAAUGGGGAAACCCCACCGCAAGGUGAUCCUGGACUGAAUACAUAGGUUCAGGAGGCGAACCCGGGGAACUGAAACAUCUCAGUACCCGGAGGAAAAGACAUCAACCGAGAUUCCGAAAGUAGUGGCGAGCGAAAUCGGAGGAGCCUGCACGAUGUAGCCAUCGACUUAUCAGAACGGUCUGGAAAGGCCGGCCACAGAGGGUGAUAGCCCCGUAUGGAAAAAGUCGGUGGUGGAACUGGGCGUGCGACAAGUAGGGCGGGACACGUGAAAUCCUGUCUGAACAUGGGGGGACCACCCUCCAAGCCUAAGUACUCCUCAGCGACCGAUAGUGAACAAGUACCGUGAGGGAAAGGUGAAAAGUACCCCGGGAGGGGAGUGAAAUAGUACCUGAAACCGUGUGCCUACAAGCCGUGAGAGCCUUAUGCCGCUUCGGUG